UUGGGAAUGAUUGAAGGAUAUCCCUGGAAGUCCCAAGAUUUCCUUCUCAAGUCUCACUUCUCCCAUGUCUUAAUGAAUAGGGAUAAUUCAGGACUUAGUGUUCCUGCAUUUGUCCUGGAAUAACCCACUUACUUCAAGUGUGACUGUACAGGAAUUUGUAGGACAUGUUCAUUACCCAAAUGUCCUGUAAAAUCCCACUGCCACUGUUGCAGGUUUUUGCAGGACUUUUUUCUGUUUUUCAGGACUUAAUACUGAAAUUAAGAGACAAAUAUUGUCCUACAAAUUCCCAUAAAGUCUCACACUUGAUAUAAAAAGGACAUUCCAGGACUUUACAUUGCUUUCCAGGACUUAUAAAUGAGAAUAUGUCCAGAGAAAAGUCUUGCAAUAUCCCUAAAAAUCUUUUAAGUUUUGAAAUUGGAUUAUAAAGGACUUUGGAUACAGUAACAGCACUUUUUGCUAUUAAUAUAUGUACAGAUUUGAAGCCUCACAUUUGCAUAAAACGUUUUAUUGAUAUUGUAGAUAGCACCAUAGUUCAGAUAAACAAAUUAUAAAGAAAGUGAAUUCUGUCCUAUACUCAGCACUCGGGUUCCAUUUAUUUCCAGUUUCACUUUUAUAUCUAAAAUUCCCGCCGACUGUGUCAUUCAUUGAUGGUUUGAAAUAAAAUCGGGUUUGAUGUACACCUAAUUCCUAAAGAAUCAUUUAAACGUUUGAAAUAGCAUAUGUUAAUCAAAGUCUUUUACGAGCGUCUUGCUGAUUACGAUGCCAUACACUUGGCGGGUUCUCCAUUGAUGAUGAAAACAAGAAAGUUUUUCAAAUGAGAAUUAAAGCAUUGACAACCAAAACACACCAGAUGCACAUUUGAACUGUGGAGCAUGUGUCCAAAUGGUUGGGGAUACGAGUCCAUGUCAAAUCGGUCAAAGUGAAAUGACAGCUAAUUUGGAGUUGCACAUAUCCUGUGGAAAGUUUGAUUUCUUGGCAGAUAUCCAGCCAUUUUCGAAGAGUUCAGAAGACUUUCAUGAUGACUUUGCUAUUGUUAAUCAAAAAGUUCAGCUGACAAAUUUCCAUUUUGAACCUCACAAAUGUGUUAUCCGUUUAUCCUAAG